AAGCAAGUUACGUAAGGGCUGUCGGUGGAUGCCUUGGGAGAAGUAGACGAUGAAGGACGUAGCAGGCUGCGAUAAGCCUCGGGUAGGUGCCAAGCAACCUUUAAUCCGGGGAUUUCCGAAUGGGGUAACCCCCCC
rnacentral:rRNA from 1 species